GGGACAUCAAAAAUGUCUUGACAGGAUCGGCUGACAACAGCUGUUGACUGUGGGACUUUGAGACCGCGCCAUUUUGCAAUCACCGGAAAUUGCUACCACUUCCUCCCGCUGUUAUCCAAUCACAGGCGGCAUCAACAAUCCACCAGUUUGUUAAUGGGUAGAUACACACAGUCGCUGCAGACUAUUGUCAGUGCAGCUAAAGGAAAAUUCCAGCAAUUCUUAUACUGAAUUAUUCUGCAAAUAUUGAUCGCAUCAAAUGUGUGCAAAUGUUACAAAAAAAUGACCAAGAAACGAAGCAACAACACAUUGUUUGUUAAAAACUCAGAAAAUCAUCAUAUCAUUCCAUAGUGUAGCAGUUAGCACGCCUGCCUCGGAAGCAGAAAGUCCUGGGUUCGAUCAAAUGUAUUUUAUCUGAACAUGUCAAAAUACCACCAAAAGCAAGCAAGACUAUAGUCGUACUAUCCAAAAAAAUGCAAUAAAAAGGAAUGCCUCAAAAUGCAAGGUUGCAAAGUGAAUAUCCUGUGCUAAAAACUCCAAAAACUGUCAACAAUGGUAAGUUAUGAUGUAAUAUAUUAAUGCUCCCAUCUACUGUUCAAUAAAUAACUACAAUUUGCUUGUUUUGAGCUUGAAUACAGUUUAUGUUAAACCGACAGAAAAUGAACUGUACGUCGUCAUUCCAUAGUAAAAUCAUAUAAGUGGAAAGUUAUGGACAGAGAGUCGUAGUAAAUUCUGAUUAAGGCAAAAAAAGAAAAAAAAAAGUAAUUUAUUUUCUUACAACAGCUCUGGUAUGAAGCUGAACAAAUACAUCAAUACGACACCCUGACAUCAAUACGGUCACAUUAACCGCUGGUGCCGCGUGGACCCCACACAAUCUCAAAUUUAACCUUAGUGUAUUUUCUUUCUUUGCAGGCACGGUGUAGCACGGUGUAAAACAGAAGAAGGUCAGUGAGCAGAUUUCCUGUGAUUACAAAGGUUAAACGUCUCUAAAGAGAGACGAGAUGUAAUCAAAAGUGUUUUUCUACAGUGACAGAAACAUAGAUCAUAUAUAUAAAAAAAAUUGAGUACCUGGUUGCUAAGUGAAGCCGAGAAAUUU